rnacentral:rRNA from 1 species
AUUGAACGCUGGCGGCAGGCCUAACACAUGCAAGUCGAACGAGUGGCGGACGGGUGAGUAAUGUCUGGGAAACUGCCUGAUGGAGGGGGAUAACUACUGGAAACGGUAGCUAAUACCGCAUACAAUCGGUGGUGCCCAGAUGGGAUUAGCUGGUAGGUGGGGUAACGGCUCACCUAGGCGACGAUCCCUAGCUGGUCUGAGAGGAUGACCAGCCAAACGGGAACUGAGACACGGUCCAGACGCCUACGGGAGGCAGAAGUGGGGAAGAGUGCACAAUGGGCGCAAGCCUGAUGCAGCCAUGCCGCGUGUAUGAAGAAGGCCUGCGGUUUGUAAAGUACUGUCAGCGGGGAGGCGUUACCCGCAGAAGAAGCACCGGCUAACUCCGUGCCAGCAGCCGCGGUAAUAC